rnacentral:ncRNA from 1 species
UGUUGACAAGGGCAUAGCCGUUGCAAAGCGGUGACGCAAAGCUACCUGUCCAGGGAUGCCCGCAUCCUGUGGAUCGAGGGGCCGCCACA